AGAACGGCAGUCAUGCUAUAUUCAGGCUGGGGCAUCCUGUCAACUUGUCAAAGGAACAACAAAAACACUGUGUAUCCGUGAAUGACGAUCUCGGCCAAGGUGGCUCAGAGCCCACUACAUUCAUCCCCUAGGACAUUCAUCAAGUUGAAUGCCUAAUCCUUGAAAACUGACGCCACCAAUUUGCUGAAGAGAAGCAUCUGUCUGUGGGAACCAUACACACAAUCAUCCAUGAACACCACUUGCACGAUAUAGGAAUUCGGCUGGGAGUUACUGCCAUAUCACC